AUUGAACGCUGGCGGCAGGCCUAACACAUGCAAGUCGAGCGGAUGAAGGGAGCUUGCUCCUGGAUUCAGCGGCGGACGGGUGAGUAAUGCCUAGGAAUCUGCCUGGUAGUGGGGGAUAACGUCCGGAAACGGGCGCUAAUACCGCAUACGUCCUGAGGGAGAAAGUGGGGGAUCUUCGGACCUCACGCUAUCAGAUGAGCCUAGGUCGGAUUAGCUAGUUGGUGGGGUAAAGGCCUACCAAGGCGACGAUCCGUAACUGGUCUGAGAGGAUGAUCAGUCACACUGGAACUGAGACACGGUCCAGACUCCUACGGGAGGCAGCAGUGGGGAAUAUUGGACAAUGGGCGAAAGCCUGAUCCAGCCAUGCCGCGUGUGUGAAGAAGGUCUUCGGAUUGUAAAGCACUUUAAGUUGGGAGGAAGGGCAGUAAGUUAAUACCUUGCUGUUCUGACGUUACCAACAGAAUAAGCAUCGGCUAACUUCGUG
rnacentral:rRNA from 1 species